rnacentral:rRNA from 1 species
CAGUAGCCGCGGUAAUACGUAGGUGGCAAGCGUUGUCCGGAUUUAUUGGGUUUAAAGGGUGCGUAGGCGGCAUUUUAAGUCAGUGGUGAAAUACGGCAGCUCAACUGUCGAGGUGCCAUUGAUACUGGGAUGCUUGAGUACUGAUGAGGUAGGCGGAAUGGACGGUGUAGCGGUGAAAUGCUUAGAUAUCGUCCAGAACACCGAUAGCGAAAGCAGCUUACUAAGGAGUAACUGACGCUGAGGCACGAAAGUGUGGGGAUCAAACAGGAUUAGAUACCCCAGUAGUCCCUGUCUCUUUACA